ACCGGUCCGCACGGGAGCCUGGCGAAACCGGGCUGAGAGGGAACUUGAGGAGUUCCGACCGUCGAACCUGAUCCGGGUCAUGCCGGCGCAGGGAGCGUGUUGUGGUCAAAG
rnacentral:ncRNA from 1 species